GGGGAUUUAGCUCAGUGGCAUAAGCACCUGCCUUGCAAGCAGGCAGUUGUAAGUUCAAUCCUCG
rnacentral:tRNA from 1 species